GAAAUGCGAUAAGUCAUGUGAAUAGCAGAAUUCAGUGAAUCAUCGAAGCUUUGAACGCACAUUGCGCCCGCUUGUAUUCUGGCGGGCAUGCCAGUUCGAGCGUCCUUUCAACCAUCAAGCCCCCGGGCUUGUGUUGGAGACCCUGCGGCUGCCCGCAGGCCCUGAAAUGCAGUGGCGGGCUCGCUGUCCACACCGAGCGUAGUAGCAUUACACCUCGCUCAGGGCGUGCGGCGGGCUCCGGCCGUUUAACGCGACCUUAACGCAUACCAAGGUUGACCUCGGAUCAGGUAGGAAGACCCGCUUAACUUAA
rnacentral:misc_RNA from 1 species